UACGAAGGGGGCUAGCGUUGCUCGGAAUCACUGGGCGUAAAGCGCACGUAGGCGGAUUUCUAAGUCAGGGGUGAAAUCCUGGAGCUCAACUCCAGAACUGCCUUUGAUACUGGGAAUCUCGAGUCCGGGAGAGGUGAGUGGAACUGCGAGUGUAGAGGUGAAAUUCGUAGAUAUUCGCAAGAACACCAGUGGCGAAGGCGACUCACUGGACAUGUAUUGACGCUGAGGUGCGAAAGCGUGGGGAGCAAACAGGG
rnacentral:rRNA from 1 species